rnacentral:misc_RNA from 1 species
GAAUGAUCUUGGCCUCUAUGUUUUUGCUUCAAAGCCAUCGAGUGGAGCUGCUAUUUUCAAGUUUUAACACCAACCGCUUGUUUGCCCUUUGGCAAUAAACAUUCAGUUUUUUAUUUAUGUCAAGAAACAUUUGAUUUAAUCUAACAGAAUAAAAUUCGAUGCUGCCUUGUAAGAACUUUUUCAAAGUAAAUAAUUUAUUUCGCUCAAGUGAAUAGGAAAAAUCGAUUACCA